rnacentral:rRNA from 1 species
ACGCUGGCGGCGUGCUUAACACAUGCAAGUCGAACGAUGAAGCCUAGCUUGCUAGGUGGAUUAGUGGCGAACGGGUGAGUAAUACGUGAGUAACCUACCUUUAACUCUGGGAUAAGCCCGGGAAACUGGGUCUAAUACCGGAUACGACCAAUCUCCGCAUGGGGUGUUGGUGGAAAGCGUUAUGUAGUGGUUAUAGAUGGGCUCACGGCCUAUCAGCUUGUUGGUGAGGUAACGGCUCACCAAGGCGACGACGGGUAGCCGGCCUGAGAGGGUGACCGGCCACACUGGGACUGAGACACGGCCCAGACUCCUACGGGAGGCAGCAGUGGGGAAUAUUGCACAAUGGGCGCAAGCCUGAUGCAGCGACGCCGCGUGAGGGAUGACGGCCUUCGGGUUGUAAACCUCUGUUAGCAGGGAAGAAGAGAGAUUGACGGUACCUGCAGAGAAAGCGCCGGCUAACUACGUG